rnacentral:rRNA from 1 species
CAGUCGAGCGGAAUUUUAUUGGUGCUUGCACCUUUAAAAUUUUAGCGGCGGACGGGUGAGUAACACGUGGGUAACCUACCUUAUAGAUUGGGAUAACUCCGGGAAACCGGGGCUAAUACCGAAUAAUACUUUUUAACACAUGUUUGAAAGUUGAAAGACGGUUUCGGCUGUCACUAUAAGAUGGACCCGCGGCGCAUUAGCUAGUUGGUGAGGUAACGGCUCACCAAGGCAACGAUGCGUAGCCGACCUGAGAGGGUGAUCGGCCACACUGGGACUGAGACACGGCCCAGACUCCUACGGGAGGCAGCAGUAGGGAAUCUUCCACAAUGGACGAAAGUCUGAUGGAGCAACGCCGCGUGAGUGAAGAAGGAUUUCGGUUCGUAAAACUCUGUUGCAAGGGAAGAACAAGUAGCGUAGUAACUGGCGCUACCUUGACGGUACCUUGUUAGAAAGCCACGGCUAACUACGUGCCAGCAGCCGCGGUAAUACGUAGGUGGCAAGCGUUGUCCGGAAUUAUUGGGCGUAAAGCGCGCGCAGGUGGUUCCUUAAGUCUGAUGUGAAAGCCCCCGGCUCAACCGGGGAGGGUCAUUGGAAACUGGGGAACUUGAGUGCAGAAGAGGAUAGUGGAAUUCCAAGUGUAGCGGUGAAAUGCGUAGAGAUUUGGAGGAACACCAGUGGCGAAGGCGACUGUCUGGUCUGUAACUGACACUGAGGCGCG